rnacentral:rRNA from 1 species
GACGUAGGUGGCGAACGUUAUCCGGAAUUAUUGGGCGUAAAGGGCUCGUAGGCGGUUUGUCGCGUCGGGAGUGAAAUCCACUGGCUUAACUGGUGGCUUGCUUUCGAUACGGGCAGACUGGAGGUAUGCAGGGGAGAACGGAAUUCCUGGUGUAGCGGUGAAAUGCGCAGAUAUCAGGAGGAACACCGGUGGCGAAGGCGGUUCUCUGGGCAUGUCCUGACGCUGAGGAGCGAAAGUGUGGGGAGCGAACAGG